rnacentral:rRNA from 1 species
GGGAAGUAAUUGGACAAUGGGCGGAAAGCCUGAUCCAGCAAUGCCGCGUGUGUGAAGAAGGUCUUCGGAUUGUAAAGCACUUUCGACGGGGACGAUGAUGACGGUACCCGUAGAAGAAGCCCCGGCUAACUUCGUGCCAG